rnacentral:rRNA from 1 species
GUGCCAGCAGCCGCGGUAAUACGUAGGUGGUCAAGCGUUGUCCCGGAAUUAUUGGGCGUAAAGCGCGCGCAGGCGGUUUCUUAAGUCUGAUGUGAAAGCCCCCGGCUCAACCCGGGGAGGGUCAUUGGAAACUGGGGAACUUGAGUGCAGAAGAGGAGAGUGGAAUUCCACGUGUAGCGGUGAAAUGCGUAGAGAUGUGGAGGAACACCAGUGGCGAAGGCGACUCUCUGGUCUGUAACUGACGCUGAGGCGCGAAAGCGUGGGGAGCGAACAGGAUUAGAUACCCUGGUAGUCC